rnacentral:rRNA from 1 species
CCUACGGGGGGCAGCAGUGGGGAAUAUUGCGCAAUGGGCGAAAGCCUGACGCAACGACGCCGCGUGAGGGAUGAAGGUCUUCGGAUCGUACACCUCUGUCAGCAGGGAAGAACGGUCACUGUGCUAAUCAGCAGUGAAUUGACGGUACCUGCAAAGGAAGCACCGGCUAACUCCGUGCCAGCAGCCGCGGUAAUACGGAGGGUGCGAGCGUUAAUCGGAAUUACUGGGCGUAAAGCGCUCGUAGGCGGUAUGUCAAGUCAAGGGUGAAAUCCCCGCGCUCAACGUGGGAGCUGCCUUUGAAACUGGCAAAAUGGAGGGUGUGAGAGGAUAGUGGAAUGCCAGGUGUAGGAGUGAAAUCCGGAGAUAUCUGGAGGAACAUCAGUGGCGAAGGCGACUAUCUGGCACAUAACUGACGCUGAGGAGCGAAAGCGUGGGUAGCAAACAGGAGUAGAGACCCGGGUAGUC